UCUUAAGGAUUAUGUACCACAAUUCAUCAAAAUUAUACUACAUUGUCAUACUAGUCAAACUCAUGUAAGUUUAACUUCCAAAUUAUGCAUAUUCCAUACCAUGCUUCAACAACUUUCAUGUUUAUUCACUAUCAUGUACAAAAUAACACCUUAACAACCUAGAUACAUGCCAUUUUACCAAAAGAAAAGUAUUCACCACUUUGAGUCCGAGAUUGGCUUGGAUGCUGAGUCCUUAGCUUUCUUUCGUACCUAGUCCUGCGCACUGAAACAUACUGUAUGCUGAGUAUACACUUAGUGGUAUUUCUAUAAACUAAUACUUAAAAUAAUAAUAAACCAUGUAUAUACAUUGUAACUUAAAGCCUUUUACAUUCAUUAGUUAAGCAAUUCAAAUAUAUAUGUAUAUAUUUAUAUAUUUCUUAUCACUCGAUAUCUUUCAACCUCGUAUACCAGUCACAGUUACAUAAUCAAUAGUAAACAGUCUUCAGUACUUUCAUUUACCCCUAUUAACAUAACUCGGACCUAAACGGAUACGCGGAUCCAACCCACACACCGGGGAUAAUAUACAGUGUUUCAUCGGCCGAAACCGGAAUACACCGUAGGGUAACAGUAACAGUAACAGUCAUAGUCAAGUACGAAGUACCUCUUCGGAACAAAUCCGGAAUAGUCACAGUAGUCGACACAUAUAGUGUCUCAUCGACACACAGUCGGAAUAUCCCUGAACACUUCCAAUUCUAUGGCAUGCCAAUUGUAUCCGACUAGCCCGACACUGUUAAUAGGGUAUUCAAAUCAUUUCAUUUCAAUACAGAAGUAGUAAUAGUUUCCAUCAUAUCAUUCAUUAUACAUUCUAAUUAUUAAAAAUAACAAUUACAUUGUAUUAAAUCAUUAAGCAUAGUUUAUAGAAAUACAAACCAAAAUUCUCGAGUUUAAUCGAUAUCCUUGUUCACUUUCUCCUUUCCCUUUUUUGAUGACAUUUCCGGUGCUACAUUGACUACAUAAAAUUUAACAUUUAAAAUUAUCAAUAUAUGUUGUUUAAUAACACACUCUUUUAUUUUCAUGUAACUUUACUAUAUUUCCAAUUAGGUCCUAUCACCAUAACCAUUCUUUUUCUUCAAAUAACCUUAUAUGUAGCACCCCAAACCCGGCCCAGAAGUUAUGGCCGGAUCCGGCAUGCCACAUCAAAAACGUUAAAAAAAAUUCCAUUCUAAGUCCAGAAAAUCGUACUUGAUGUUCAAAAGAUUAAUUCAUUAAGGGUUAAAGUGAAUGGAAGCAGUGCACCAGGUAGGAAACCGGAAAAGAGGUGGUGAGUCUAUCGGACUGCUUAAGUACCAAGCUCCCUUCGGAUCCAAUCCUAGACAUGCAUACUGUCAUUGCCACACCUUAACGUCAUGGAUAUUUCUAGGAAACCGAUUUGAUUAAGUCAUUUUUAGGAAAAGUGAUUAAUUUUGGAAAAUACUUUCAUUGAGGAAGCUUUGCUUGUUGUCGUGUUAUUUUGAAAUCAACUGUUGUUUUUGAAAACGCGCCCUAAAGCUAUCCAAUUUCAACAGUUAAAAUAAGUAUUACCUAUCUUAGUAAUACAUAUUAAAAACCAUCAAAAAUAAAUAAGUGGCCUUAUUACAUUUAAAAGCCCAAAACCUCAAACGUAAUUAAAAGGAUAUCCAGUUCACCAGAAGAAAAUCAAACUUUCAGAACGGGUGGCCACUCCGAAUUCCCUCACAGCUCCAAGCCCACUAUGGUUGGGGAUUACCUGCGUGGAUGAAAAUAAAAGGGAUGAGUUUGGGGAAAAUCAGUGUGUAAAAUAACCCAACCAUAGUCUAAAUCAGCUCAACCCACAGAAACAGAAUAAGUUGGCCUUAGCCCAGAACAAAAUUCAGAAUAAAGCCCAUAGGCCCAUAACAGAACAGAAUAGAUAUUACAUGAUUAUGCAGAAACCCAACCAUAUCCAACCGUAUACACCCCCGUACCAACCUUACACCGUGUGGGGAGACAACUCGACCCACCCAACCACUACACACCACAGAAUUUACAGCAUGGCUGCCAGAACAGAUAAUGUGACAGAGUCACCAGAUACAGAUAAUCGUGGCAGAGCCACCAGAACAGAUAUAUGUGGCAGAGCCACCAGAUCAGAUAUUUUUUGCAUAGCCACCAGAACGCUUCCUCCAUAAUGUACCCAUGUCCCCAUGCAACAGAUAUAUAAUCAUGGCAUACAUCAUACAGAAUCAGAUCGUCAUGCUUUUCAGUCAAAAUUAACCCUAGGGGUAUAACAGUAAUUUUCCAUACAUAGGGGUAUUAUAGUAAUUUAGCUCCUUUUAUGGUUUUCAUGCAUAUCCUAACUAUUUACGUACUAUCAGAACACUUACCGCACAUACUUACUGAAUUGGGCCCGUUGGCCCAUGAACCCGAUCUUUGGCCCAUUAAGCCCAAAUUAUCAAAAUGUACGAAAUCGCGCGUACUGCAAUUUAUUACUUUAGAUUACCAAAUAUACAAACCCAACUAUCUUACGAGCAUUCGCACACUCGCAAAUUCCCAAAAUACUGACUUUUUGGCAUUUCGGCUUUUCGGCUUUUGCCAAUCUAGUCUAUGAGAGGGUGUCAGUUACACACCUGUUUGCGACGAUAUGCUGACGAGAUCCACACACGAACCGCCUACAAUUGGAUUACUAACACGUUAAUCUAACUAUUCAAAUACAAACUACGUAUUAACCCCUUACAAUAUUCGGCCUACCACACCUACAGAUCAUAGUAAGCUUAUAAGAAAUCAAUAAGCAACUCAUUAACAAAUUUUUGUCAAUGUUUACACAUAAUCGUAAUUUCACUGCAAGCUGUCUUCCUGAGCAACAGUCACUAAAUUAUUUAUAACUGGAGCUACGAAACUCCAAAUCAAGUGCCGUUAAUAUUCCCUGAAAAUAGACUCAUAUAUCUUUUAUCCAUAAAAUUUUCAGAAUUUUUGGUAUGGUCAAUCAAUACCAGAUUUUUCUUAAAGUUUCCCAUGUUUUACUGUUUGACUAAUCUGAACACUCUUCAUUACGAAUCAAAUUUCUCAUUGUAAAGAAUUCAAAAUAUGUUCUCGUUUAUUCCAUUUGAAACUAGACUCAUUAAGCUUUAAUUACAUAAUUUAUGCAGCUUCUAACUCAUCUCCCACAAUUUAUGGUGAUUUUCCAAAGUCACAUUACUGCUGCUGUCCCAAGCAGAUUUAUUACCAAAUCACUCUUUCACACCUAACUUGCAUGCUUGUUAUUUAAACAUGUAUAUCACCAAUCAAUCAUCACAUAUCUAUGAUUUUACUUAAGUAUAAUCUCCAUUUCAUCAUUUUAAAGCACAACAUGUUAGCCGAUUUUUCCCUUUAGCAUCUAAGGCACAUGCAUGCUCAUUUGUUUGGCUCAACUUCACCUAUCUUCCAUUUUUCAUCAAAAGAACAUGAAACAACAACCAUUUCCUUCAUUUUAAUUCAUGACUAAAUGCUCACAACACAUCUAAAACUUAAAAUAUACUUCAAGAGUUAAGGUAGAAUCAAGAAGAACUCAUGAACCUCAAAAUAGAAGCAAGGUACCAAGAACUUACCUUCAAUUUUCCUCCUCCUAAUGACCGAAUACUCAAGAGCUUUCUCCUCUCCUUUCUCUUCUCUAACUUUCAGCUAUGAUGAACAAAGAUGGACAAAACUUUGUUCUUUUC
rnacentral:lncRNA from 1 species